GCGAUUUCCCAUCGUUUCCGAUGACUUGAUGCGUCGAGGUAGGUGUUGAUCGACUCCUCUCUUCUUCCUCUUUCAUUUGGUAGGCUCCUCGUCGACUGUAAUAGCCGGAAUCGGAAAACCCAAAAUGGGUAUCACCGAACCUUUCCGGUCAAUUUUCGGCCAAAUAGUUCACACCCACCUUGAUUUGAAUACAUAUUAGUGAUCCUCUCAUCGAAACGAAUAAAAUGAUGUAUCGUUUGUCAAUUUUGGUGAAGGUUAAAUUUUCCGGCCACCGUGCACGGUNNNNNNNNNNGGCGGGGGCGGUGGUCCGGCGAGACUCCGACGAAGACCCCGAGAGGCAGAAUGAUCUCCUCUUCGCGCGGAUCACGGACAUAAAAUCUGAUUUUCAAUCGGUACACUGUAAA
rnacentral:lncRNA from 1 species